rnacentral:rRNA from 1 species
AGUGAACGCUGGCGGUAGGCCUAACACAUGCAAGUCGAACGGCAGCACAGUAAGAGCUUGCUCUUACGGGUGGCGAGUGGCGGACGGGUGAGGAAUACAUCGGACUCUACUUUUUCGUGGGGGAUAACGUAGGGAAACUUACGCUAAUACCGCAUACGACCUACGGGUGAAAGCAGGGGAUCUUCGGACCUUGCGCGAUUGAAUGAGCCGAUGUCGGAUUAGCUAGUUGGCGGGGUAAAGGCCCACCAAGGCGACGAUCCGUAGCUGGUCUGAGAGGAUGAUCAGCCACACUGGAGCUGAGACACGGUCCAGACUCCUACGGGAGGCAGCAGUGGGGAAUAUUGGACAAUGGGCGCAAGCCUGGUCCAGCCAUACCACGUGGGUGAAGAAGGCCUUCGGGGUGUAAAGCCCUUUUGUUGGGAAAGAAAAGCAUCAGGUUAAUACCCCGCUGUUCUGACGGUACCCAAAGAAUAAGCACCGGCUAACUUCGUG